GUGCCAGCCGCCGCGGUAAUACAGAGGGUGCAAGCGUUAAUCGGAAUUACUGGGCGUAAAGCGCACGUAGGUGGUUUGAUAAGUCGGAUGUGAAAUCCCUGGGCUCAACCUAGGAAUUGCAUUCGAUACUGUCUGACUAGAGUAUGGUAGAGGGGGGUAGAAUUCCCGGUGUAGCGGUGAAAUGCGUAGAUAUCGGGAGGAAUACCAGUGGCGAAGGCGGCCCCCUGGACCAAUACUGACACUGAGGUGC
rnacentral:rRNA from 1 species